AGGAUUUUCCUUUAGGGCAUGACAUGUUUGGCUUUCGUGAAAAGAAAACGGGUAAAUUUUCACAAAACUGCUAUGAAAGGAUCUCGUCGCCGUCGUCGCCCCCGCUCUCCCCCUCGCCGUCGAUCUCAGCUCUGGCGAGGGUUUCGACGUCGUCUCCGCCGCUUUCAGCCAAGUGACACUUCACCACACUAGAUCCCCACUCCCACUUCCACAUCGAAGGCGACUGAGCCUAGCUUGCGACCGAGGGUUCUUUUCGAUCGAGCGCCUAGGGUUUCCGUAACAUGCGAAAGGUUCGACUCUGAUUGAUUUUUCUUCAAAUAUCAAGAUUGCGUAUUGAGGAACUGAAGGAUUUAAAGGAGGGAAUUGAGGAGGAGGAGGAGGAGAUCUUCACCCCUGCGCUUCUCUAUGAUCUUUUCAUCAGGAAGAAGAUCCAGGCGGAGUUUCGGUGGUUGAUGAGGUCUGUUUUCUCUAUUUUCUCUGUUUAAUUGGUAAUGGAUUUGUUUAGAAGACUGAAAAUUUUUCCAUCUUACGUAGAAUUGUGUUAUAAUGUUUGUUCGAUAAUAUUUGGAGGUUCUCUGCGUGGGAAUUUGGUAGUGAAAAGAGUUGGAUUUAUAUACAGAAUUCAAGUUUAAUCAAUUAAACAACAACCACCACCAGCGAAACUUUCUUGGUUACAUCCAACCUAGUUCUCUUAGGCCUAACUCUAGUACAUUUAGUAGUCUCUUCAAGUCUACGACACUCGUGAGGUGGAAGUUUCUAGAUAUGAUGCAGACAGAGGGCAUUUUCUAAAUUAUGAUGAGUCUACGAUAUUUCUUGAAUGCCAUCCUAUGUAUCUGGUUUUGGCGGUGAGAUGAUGAGCAUAAUAACCAACAAGAGUUAUUAAUAACUUGAAUGCAAAUCUUUGCAAACAUAAAAGGUGAAGAUUGUGUUAUCAAUUUGUUCUGCAUAGUUUGAUGAUGCACACGUUAUUCACCAUCAUGGUUCCUCUACUUUUUCUAAUAAGGAUACCAAAUUAAAAAUCCUUGCAAUUCUCAAGAUAUUAUCGUGAUUUUUAAAUGUAAUUCUCUUAUUUAUAGCUUCUUGAAUGUUUAUUUUUGGUUUCAAUAUUUAUCUUUUACAUUAAGCAUACUGCUCAUAUUCCAUGGUUCAUGUUUCACUUCUAUUACUGUUAAGCAAUAUUGAAAAUUAAGUCAUAAAUUAUCAUGUAUCAUUAUCACUACUCUCCACAAAAAUUAAGUCAUAAAUGGUUAAAUCCAAUCCAAAAGCAUCUCCACAAAAUUUAGAUCAUCCACUUUUGUGUGAGGCAUUGAUUGAUGUGUUAAAAGUUAUAAGCAAAGUUGUUUUAGAUGAUCAUCUUCAGGUCUUGUCCGUUUGACAUUUUGAAAGAACGCAUUUUGUAGCUUUGUUAAUGUUGGUGAUGUAAAAUCAUCUGAAUUGACCUGUUAUAACAUGAUGAGUAUUGUAUUAUUAUGCUAGUCCCGGUGUGCCUCUUUUGAUAUCUCUCGGUCUAUCUUCUGGCACUACAUGAUUUUCCAAUGUUACAGAAGACAUUUCUGUAACUUUUUAGAUAUUUAUUCUAUGUUUAUUUAAUUGAAGACAAUAUGUGCUUAGUUUCUAUUAAUUCUUUGUUGAGUUGAAGUUUCAGUGUAUAAUUCUGAGUUUUAUGGCUGUAACUUGGUCAUUGCAGUGUUUAUUUAGUUUGCUAUAUGGUUACCCCCCACCCAAAAAAAAGUGACUUUUUGAUUGAUAGAGUAAAUAUCGUGGUUAUUAUCCUCACACAUGCAUGAAUAUUGUGUUCACCACCUGUUAUUUCAAUCGGGAAAAAGUAAUUAUACCCUCUGUAAUAAUAGGUCAUAUUUUUCUUUAAAAAAAGGCCUAUAGAUCUGCAAAAUCUAGUUUAAACUAGAAGUUGUAAAGAGUUUAAACUGGGAAACGGUAAAGUAUGACUUUUGUGAUUCUUUCCAACAUGAGUGCAUUAUAGGGUUUUUUUGCUUCUGUGUUCUACUGAGGUUAUGUUCUUGAAUUUUUUUUCAUUGAUAUUCUUGUUUUGUUUCUUAAACAACGUUGCUCUAAUACAUUUGCUAUGAGUUUCUUUUGCUAGGUGCAGUUCCAUUUCCUAGUCAUGUUCAAUGCUUAAAAACUUGGUGUUUGUGGAGUAAUCACCUUAAAUGAGCCAUACGAAACAUUGGUGCCUACAUCAUUUUAUCUUAUGAUGGAUGAUUCUUUCUUCAUAUUAUUGGGAUAUGUGUUGUAUCUACCAUAGUAUCGAGUGGGCUUUAAGCCUAGUGAACCUUUGGAUAGUGCUACGGUUUAGGGGGUUACUGAAACUUGCAAAAUGUUUCACUGUCAUUUCUGAUUGUUCUUGGUACACACUUGCGGCUAUUGCUGCUGUUAGGCAGAUUAGUUGAAUCGUUUCUGAUUUGGUCCAUUCAUGUGUAAUUUGUCUCUAUUUAUGGACAGCAAGGCUCAAAGUACUACAAAAUCAAUGAAGGCAUUGA